rnacentral:rRNA from 1 species
UGUUGGGUUAAGUCCCGCAACGAGCGCAACCCUCGUUCUAUGUUGCCAGCACGUGAUGGUGGGGACUCAUAGGAGACUGCCGGGGUCAACUCGGAGGAAGGGGGGGACGACGUCAAAUCAUCAUGCCCCUUAUGUCUUGGGCUUCACGCAUGCUACAAUGGCCGGUACAAAGGGUUGCGAUACUGUGAGGUGGAGCUAAUCCCAAAAAGCCGGUCUCAGUUCGGAUUGGGGUCUGCAACUCGACCCCAUGAAGUCGGAGUCGCUAGUAAUC